rnacentral:misc_RNA from 1 species
UCAAACUUGGUCAUUUAGAGGAAGUAAAAGUCGUAACAAGGUUUCCGUAGGUGAACCUGCGGAAGGAUCAUUAAAUGGCGUGCGAUCCGCACGCGGAUGCGCCCGGGCUCCGGUCUCGGGGGUGCUCGCAUGCGGUUUCUCGCUCUAUACCCUUGCCUAUUUGUACCCUCUUGUUGUUUCCUCGGCGAGUCCCGACUCGCCGAUGGGAAUUUGAUCAACCUCUUGCAGUAGUAUCCAAUCAUUCUGAUCAAAAGUCUUUAAAUCGUUACAACUUUCAACAAUGGAUCUCUUGGUUCUGGCAUCGAUGAAGAACGCAGC